GUUGGCGCACGAUCCUAAUUUUGCGGUUGUGCAACUCAGCAUCCCGAACUUGUCUAUGUAAAAGCUAGUAAGACAUGGUUUUUUAUUUCAAAUUAAUGGACACUUUUAUUUUCAAUUAUGGGUUUUAUAAGAUAGAUGAAGUUAGUUUUUAAAUUAAAACUUAAAACGUACUGAAAUACUAUUAAAAUUAAAUUUUCUAUAAUUAAAAUAUAAAAAGGGAGCGUUUGGAGGACGAGAAGGCCAAAAGAGAUACGAAGAGGGGGUGGUAUAAUCCAUUUUACUCGUACGGAUCUUCGUAGUGGUAUACCACUGUCUUUUUUUAUGAAUACAUACUAACGGAGUACGAAGAGUGUUCGUACAUGCACAUACUACAUAGUACGGGUUAAAAAUUAUAGUAUGGUCUCUUCGUAGGAGUGCAUACUAACAAAAUAUAUUUUCACUACUACGAAAGGAAUACUCAGACUCAUAGUACUCACAUAGUACGUACCCGUACUACGUAGUACGGGUCUCAACAUUUAGAGUGUAGAAUUAAUAUUUCUCUUCUUUUUGCCGUGACCCAAUUUCUCUCUGUACACACACACACAAACUGUAUAUUUCGUUUGAUAUCUGUUUAAAGCUUUUUUUGGGUUUUGCAACUGCUUUUGCUCUACAUUUUCCGGGGGGUUGCGCUGUAAUCAGGGUAACGUACUAAGUGUUUCUACCUGGGCGCUUGGAUAGGCGCUCAGCAGGACUCUUAUUCUUUCUGUCGAUAAAUGAUGCUGUUGUUGUUGUUGUUGUGUGUACCUUACGGUUCGCGGUUAUCUCAGUUUCCUUUUUGGGAUUUUUGGUUUUGGGGAAAGCUUGGAGAAAAUGGAAAAAAAAUCAGAUAAGGUGGAAAUGGCGGUUAUCACCGCGCUGGCUUUUUUUUGGGUUGUGGGUUUGUUAUAAGCGAGUCAAUUAGGAUUUGGAAAGAAAAUAAAAGAAUCUGUAGAGUUUUACAGGCUAUAAAAUUGAGUGACUUUAUAAUGGAUUCCAGCUGAACUGAGACAGACAGGCGUGGGGGGGGGGAAUUCAAUAUCACUCGAUAGUUUUUUAGAGGGGGGCGCAAAAUUAGAGAACCGUGAAGGGUAUAUAUAAAUACUACUACUACCGGCUUUUUAGAAAAGAAAAGGUUUUCCACUGGUGGUGGUGGUGAGAGAACGAAGGACUUUUCAGGAUAUAUUUCUCAUUUAUCCUUUUUAUUUUCUUUCUACGCUUCUGUGACAUGUUUUGUUGCUGCCCUUAUAGAAAAACUCUCGUUAUCCCUCCCUUUUUUGGGAGGGUGAAAUUUUCCUUUUUUCUCGGGGGUCUGAAAAAAGAAUUCUUUUAAGGUUACAUGGGGUUCGUUUCUGUAUAUUUAGACAGCAGGCAUUUUCGGUAUUUUAAGUGAUGGAAUGGAUGGGCCAGAGCUGCACAGCAUAUGUGGUCAUGCAUGUGCGCAUAUAUUCUUUGAUGAUCUAUUGUUAUUUAUUCUUUUUUUGGGGAAAUAUCCUUUUUAUUUCGUGCAACAAAAACACAGAUUGAUAAUAUCGCCACUUGCCUGAGACUGCUGACGGCGCUGGGCAUUCCACUGGACGACGUCACGGCCAGUGAGAUACACCAGGGCAAUUUGAAAUCCAUCCUCACAGUCUUUUUCGCCCUGUCGCGCUACAAACAGCAACAGAAAUUACAGCAGCAACAAGAAAUGGCCAAGAUUCCGAUUGCCAAGACGAAUGUUUCGUCGAUUCUGGCGGUUGGACUCGUCAAAAGACCCAGGAAAAUGCAGAUAAUCUCGAAAAUAGCGGUGCCAUCUAGUGUUCAUUAUGGUAAAUACGUAAACCGAAACUUUUUUAAAUUGAUGUCGGAAGUCGAAAGGCCAACCAAAAAUAUCUUAUGAUCUUAUCUUUCAUUGGAAAAUAUCUCUUUUAAUCAGUCGUUCGAUUAAAACCGUCAGGCUUGGACGUUGCUUAUGGUAAUUUCUUCUAAUGCAAUUAAAAUAGAAUGUGGGAAAAAACAGCCAAAACGGAACAAAACGGUCGGGAUUGAGCCCCGGGGCAGUGAGGAUUGACACUCGUGCGUUUGGUUUGAGAGUCAAGUACAGCGGAAAUGAUACGAGGGGUGAGAGAGAAAGGUUUUGAUACAACAUGUAGUCUACACUCUACACACUGAGUUGUUGGACUGUGGUUGCUUUUUCCCAAUUGCAUCACAGUGAAGCUUCCACUUCCAGUGUGUUCCAUUGAGGAAGAAAUUCAGGGUUUGUAAUGGUUUACUGAUAUCUAAUAUCUUUGAUCUACCACAUGUUACUGUUUACUUCUGCUAGUCUGAAAUUCCCUGUGCAUUGACUUGACUUUCCUUGGAGAAACCACCUGUCGGAAUCAGAGUGUUCCUAAGUGUUAUUUUGUUUGUUUGUUGUUGGUUGGUUUUAUUACACAAAAGAAUCGAAAAUUCUAUUGUGUUCACCGUCAGGCUGACGGUGCUCGAAUGAGGUUUUGCGCUAUUGCACCGUCAGACGGCUGGGGGUACCCUCCCUCUUUCUGACGGCUGGAGCGAAGCCACCCCCUUCCUGACGGCUGGAGAAACCCUCCCCCUUUCUGACGGCUGGAACUGUUACCCCUUUGUGACGGCUGGAGCAACCUAACCCGUUCCUGACGGCUGGUAAACUACCCCCAACAGAGACGCUGCGGCCUGAUUGUUUUUAAUUUGUUUCUUUUGACGUUUGUGUCAGUAUACUUUCGUUCGUUCGUGUAGUGAAAGUGAUAUGUAAAUAGUGCUUUGUGAUUUGAAUUAUUUUGGAUUACCUGUUUUCUUCGACAUACACACGUUAAAUUCUUAAAAGUAGUACUGAACGACCAGUAUAUACGUAGCUACGGACCAGCCGACAAGCUUGAAACGCACAGUCCAAACCUCGACCGCUAGAUGGCCUGUACAUCCACAACACAACUCCUUAAUACCCCACUCCCCCGCCUCGCCAAAGUAAGCAACCAGCAGUGCCGGUGCGGAAGGUCUUCAGCUAGAGGACCAAUUGCUGCGACUGAUCGUCAGCAGCAGGACACCAAUCCACUAACCAGCCAACCAACCAGGAGAACUUGAGUGUUUGCAGGCCAAAGACGAUACGGUCCUCCUAAUUUAUUAUUAUUCAUCUUUCGUUAAGUAAAUCGCUCGAUUCAUUCACUUUAUCAUUCGAAAACCAAUAAACAAAAACCCCAUGACUUUAUUAUGCCUAUAUCACGUACGAGUAUGGAAUAAAUUCUGAGAACAUCAGUGUUUAUACCAAAAAAUUAUAAAAAUAAAAUAUCUUUUUUUAAGAAUUGAAGCUGUUAACUAAAAUCAUUUAUUAACAAAUUAGGUAACGGUAACGUAACCGCAGUGCCGCCUAACUAGGUUUUCUUGUUUCCUUGCUGUUGGUGUAGCGAUUCAUGCCAGUAUUCUGAAUUAAAAUUGGUGAAUUUCCCGUGAUAAAAGAACAGUUACAAUUAUAGGCAUAAGGAAAAGUUUGAGUAUUCCGUAGCUUUAGCGUGUAAAUAUUUGGUGGUUGCUGCGAUGGGCCCAAGUUGUUUGUGAUAGGAUUCAUGUCAUGAUUUUGCAUUGGAAUUUGUGAAUUUCUGUGAGAAAGGAACAGUUAUAGUUAUAGGCAUUCAUCAUAAAGCAAGUAUCGAAGAUAAAUUUUGAUACCUGGUGGUUGCUGAGAUGGACCCAAGUUUGUUGUGAAAUUUGUCAUGCCAGGAUUCUCAAAUGGAAUUUGGACAGGUUAAAUUCCUGUGAGAAAAGAAACAACUACAAUUAUAGGCAUACAUAAAUAGGCAGGUAGGGUAAUAUGGCUUUGGAGAUUUUACCUGAUGGCUGUGGAUUGGCAAUUCCCUGUAAGAAUUGCAUAGCCGCGUCAGCGAUUAUCCGUAACAUUGGUUGGGAAAGCAAAUCUUGUAUAUCUUUAAUUCCGUCCAUUUUCGACAGUAAUGAAUCAUCUAACUAUUAAUCGGUUUCAAGUAAACGUUAGGGUUCAGGGCUGGUCACGGUGCGUUUAAUGUUGUGUGGGUCGUUUUCCUCGUGGGGCGCUAUUGUUGGGACGGCGGCGUAACGUACGUAACCACCAGUUUAUGAUUGAGUCUGAGAAAGAAAAGCUAAAAACGCCCACUUGAGAAAGUAAAACAAAGUGCAGUCUGCAUUGUCCACGUCUUACGUAAAUUUGUGAUGUCAUUGAAAAAUUGAAAAAAAGUAGUCAGUUUGAUAGAUAAAAAAUUGUGAGUGUUGUGAUUUGAAAAAAUGUCGGUUUUUUUUUGAAGCUACAAAGUGCUACAGGUUUGUGAAAGUGAAAAAUAGUUUUGGUUCUAGGCCGUUGCAGACAUCGUUAACAGUGUCCCCCCCCUAAAAAAAACAUCUAUCUGAUCGAAGAUGGAAAU
rnacentral:lncRNA from 1 species